ACCCAGGUCAGUCCUAUGCAAACACCCUACCCAUUGUACUAUCUUUUGGGCCCCUAUAUUUGGAGUUCAGCAGGAAGGCAAAGGACAAAGGUUUGGAUCCCUAUAGCUUAGUGGUCCCUUCCUUCCCUAGCAUACAGGGCAUUUGAGACAGCUUGCAAAAACAUCUAUGGCCCAUGGGUGAGCGCACGUAGCGUGGGAUUAAGCAGAAAACAACUAAAG